rnacentral:rRNA from 1 species
AUGGCUGUGCUUCGUCAUAGAAGUACUAGACGCGGUGCCAGCCGUGCUAACCAGAAUACUAUUGCUGGUAUAGGCAGCCCCAACAAUGAUAGCUCGCAAAUGUCUCGAUCUGAUGGCGUCAAUACUACUGCUCCUUUAUCUCAAAACAGUGAAGUGAUCCAAAGGCAGCCCCCGUCUCGUCAAAAGGGGAGGAAAAGGAGGGCCACGACAGAACUAAGAGUGCCUCCACAUGGUCAUAAAGUUGGCCUUGAACCGGAAGGUGACAGGCAAUUUAAUUAUGCUGACCCUAAUUCCAAACACUACAAGUAUACUAUGCAACUUGGAAUCAUUCUUAAACGAGAACACCCCAGCAUAAUUGAGAAGAAGGAAGGUGGUGUUGUCAUUAAAACCCGUCCAGCUUUGGAGUGGUCUGAUUAUUAUUAUGAUGAUACUGUAGAUGAUAAGGGGCGGACAGCAGCAGAUCGUGUGAAGCAAGUGUUUUGGAACUUGUUUGAGGUUCAUGUGAAAGAUGGUGAAGACCCGGACAAGGUGGAGGAUGAUGCUGAUCGUGUGUUGGACAACUAUGCAAUGAAAAAAGUGAGGGACAUGAUGUAUCAAGUUUGUGUGGAUGCUGUGAAAUUCUACUAUGAGGAGAAAGGAGAGCUGCUUGAUGACACAUUGGCAUGUUCAAAAGAACUUGAAUAUGAUCAGUACCUGGAAGGCAGAAUACCAUGGUUUAAGGAACAUGCAUGGCCUCAUCUUUGUGCUUAUUGGUGCUCAAAAGAGUUCAAGUCUUUAAGGAAGAGAGGGCAGGAAUCUCGCUUCAAGAGUGAAGAUAUUGCUCAAAAUCGGGGAGGUUCACCGCCAUUUGUGGAGGCUCGACAAAUUCUGGCACGGAAAUAUGGGCCUGAGAAGGCUACCACCCUGAAUACGUAUGCUGCAAUGAAAUCUGGAUUAAAGAAUUGGGAUGGCAGUGGCAGCAUCAGUUCCACCCUCGGCGGGAAGGCAAAAAAAUGCCACGAUGAUUACUGUGAUUUGGCUAGAGCCGCACAUCCUGAUGAUUGGGAGGAGCGAGAGUUAGAUGGGCAAAUGUUAUAUGAGUCAUCAGGUGGCAUUCCUCAUGGGCGACUAGCAAUAGCGGAUGGAGCAAUUAAGAAGGCCGAUGUUAUCUCAAUAGCUAGAGAGAAGAAACUGAGGUCGUUAUCUUCAGCAUCAUUUCGACGAACUAUUCAAGAAAACGAAGAACUGAAGCGACGAGCUAUUCAAGAAAACGAAGAACUGAAGCGACGUAAUGAGAACCUUCAAAAGAUAGUGGAUAUGCAUGGAAGACUUUUCUUGGCCCUUUUAAAGGAGAUGGGAAAAGAACUACGAGAGGAGCUACGCCAAGGAGAAAGUUUCCAACCACAUCACUUGAUGACAACACCGGUGAUGGUGAUUUGGGUGGAACUGUUGGCGGUGACAACUCCAAUGGGAAUAUUGGCGACAUGGCUAUUGGUGCAACUAACCUUCACUCCAACAACCUGGAAAGCGAGACUUAGAGUGGUAGUAACCUGGGCAGUGCCUUUGUUGACUUAG